GGGUGAUUAGCUCAGUGGUAGAGCGCCACUUUAGCAUAGUGGAGGCCAGGGGUUCAGAAAAAUCGACAGAAUAUUACCAA